AGGUGCACCAGCUCUCCUCCUGAGGGAUGAGACCAGAGAGGCGGUUACAGGGGUACCCAGUCAGGAAGGUUAAAGGGGCAUCCAGUCAGGAAGGUUAAAGGGGUACCCAGUCAGGAAGGGUAAAGGGGCAUCCAGUCAGGAAGGUUAAAGGGGUACCCAGUCAGGAAGGUUAAAGGGGCAUCCAGUCAGGAAGGUUAAAGGGGUACACAGUCAGGAAGGUUAAAGGGGUACCCAGUCAGGAAGGUUAAAGGGGUACCCAGUCAGGAAGGUUAGAGGGGUACCCAGUCAGGAAGGUUAGAGGGGUACCCAGUCAGGAAGGUUAAAGGGGUACCCAGUCAGGAAGGUUAAAGGGGUACCCAGUCAGGAAGGUUAAAGGGGUACCCAGUCAGGAAGGUUAAAGGGGUACCCAGUCAGGAAGGUUAAAGGGGUACCCAGUCAGGAAGGUUAAAGGGGUACCCAGUCAGGAAGGUUAAAGGGGUGCACUCACUACAUACUGAGCUGAGAGGACAGUUCUCAAUGUCAGCAUUACUUGAUUACUUUCUAUUCGUUAUUUUCUAUUCCAUAGGGGUAUUUUCAUACGGUAUCUACUUACUGUCAGGAUAUAUGGCAUUUGAUAGGAAAUCAAAUGAGUUGAGGAAAUACGAUUUGAGUUUGGAUAAUGUAAUGUAAUCUUUCGUAUUGAGUUGGAAGGAUACAGAUUCUAUAAAGGUUUCAGGACGAUAUCAUUUUUCAUGGCUUGAUGGCGGGAUUUAUUAUCCUUUGAUAUUGCUGCAUUAACCUGUCAGAUUCAUAUUCAAAUCACCUUUCCAUUUCUUCAGGACUAUUACGUCAAACAGCCCUGCACUGCCCACUCUCAAACUCUCCUCGUCUGUACCUGGGGUUAACUGAAGCAGAAAGGUGCUUCAAAUCUCAUUCGGAGACAGAAUCUUUGCUGUCCAGGAGCCAGAAUAAACCAAGCCUGUGAUGUAACCCAAGUCUACAUUUAGUUAAUGACACUGCAGCACUUUAAAAGACUUGGGCUUCUCUACACAGUAUUCCCCCAUGCAAACAGUGAAUGAAUCCCUGGACACGGUUCAGUGGAUGAUGAUACAAUCACGUCUGCUGUAAAUGUAUCUCGUCCACUGAAUAAACUACGUAUUUAAGUUAGGAAAUUAGCUCCACACAAAGAUGUGUCCAGUAGCCAGAGAUGUAUGAGUCGUACUGAAGAUUUUACACUUGAUUAGGAGUGGUGGGGAGACGUGUACUGUUCCAUUACUGUUCUAAUGGACGUCUUCAAUAUUAAUCUUUCUGAGGUCACAGAGAUCAGCAGGCUUCAGUGACUGGCCUUUUCAAUGCCAAAUCACUAUCCCCCACCACCACCGCCGCCACCAUCACCACCUCGUCACACAGAGGAGGACCGGCUCGUCUAUGUAGAUUGUAUCCUACAUGUGACCUUAGUGACUGAAUUCCAGAGUUCAUGGGGAGCAUGCAUAAUUUACUGUUUAUAUUACAGGCUUUAUUAAAACAAGUAAAGAUGAUAAAUGGUGACCAGCUUUAAUUGAAUUAAAUAUAGAUUUAAGCUUUUCUUUGGGAGCUCAUUAGGAAUUGACUUAGCUGAAAUCCAUCAGGCCGUAAAUUGCAGUACGUGGGUAAUGACACAACUUGUAUCAGCUACACAAUAAUGAUUGCCAGCCGUGCAAUAAGUCUCUAGCUGGGGGGUUUGAUGAACAGUGCCUUCAGAAAGUAUUCAGACCCUGACUUUUUCCACAUUUUGUUACGUUUCAGCCUUAUUUUAAAAUGGAUUAAAAAAGAAUAAUCCUCAGCAACCUACACACAAUAUCCCAUAAUGACAAAGAGUAAACAGGUUAUUAGAAUUUUCUCUUAUAUUUUUUUCAUUUUUACUUAUUUACAUAAGUAUUCAGACCCUUUGCUAUGAGACUUAAUAUUUGAUUAUUAACCAAUGAUAUUAGGCCACUCCUGGCCAUGAUUACAGACACCUGUGUCUUUUGACACUAUAUAAACGAGUCAUCCCGCAGUGUUUGUGAUUAUACCCUGAUGAAGACAGCUUGGCUGUCGAAACGUUGAUAUUACAUUUUUGCAUCUGAGCUCCAAGAGUGUGCGGCUCUCUUGUAUUUUCAAAUUCAACUGAUUGGACAUGAUUUGGAAAGGCACACACCUGUCUAUACAGUGGCAAGAAAAAGUAUGUGAACCCUUUGGAAUUACCUGGAUUUCUGCAUAAAUUUGACAUAAAAUUAGAUCUGAUCUUCAUCUAAGUCACAACAACAGUCUGUUUAAACUAAUGACACACACAUUAUAGUAUUUUUCUUGUCUAUAUUGAAUACAUAAUUUAAAAAUGUACAGUGUAGUUUGGAAAAAGUAUGUGAACACCUAGGCUAAUGACUUGAGAUUGGAGAUGUUGGUUAGAGCAGCCCUGCCCUAUAAAAAAACUAAUUUGAGUUUUGCUAUUCACAAGAAGCAUUGCCUGAUGUGAACCAUGCCUCGAACAAAAGAGAUCUCAGAAGACCCAAGAUUAAGAAUUGUUGACUUAUAUAAAGCUGGAAAGGGUUACAAAAGUAACUCUAAAAGCCAUGAUGUCCAUCAGUCCACGCAAAGAUAAAUUGUCGAUAAAUGGAGAAAGCUCAGUACUGUUGUAACUCUCUCUGGCAGUGGCCGUCCUGCAAAGAUGACUGCAAGAGCACAGCACAGAACGCUCAAUGAGGUUAAGAAGAAUCUUAGAGUGUCAGCUAAAGACAAAGAAAUCUCUGGAACAUGCUAACAUCUCUGUUGACAAGUCUACGAUACUUAAACACGAAACAAGAAUGGUGUUCAUGGGAGGACGCAAAAGAGCACCUGGAUGUUCCACAGCGCUACUGGCAAAAUAUUCUGUGUACAGAUUAAAUUAAGUUGAAUUGUUUGGAAGGAACACACAGCAAUAUGUGUGGAGAAAAAAAAGGCACAGCACACCAACAUCAAAACCUCAUCCCAACUGUAAAGUAUGGUGAACAGGACAAUGACCCAAAACACAGAAGUAAAUCAACAACAGAAUGGCCUAAACAGAAGAAAAUACGCCUUCUGGAGUGGCCCACUCAAAGUCCUGACUUCAACCUGAUUGAGAUGCUGUGGCAUGACCUCAAGAGAGCAGUUCACACCAGACAUCCCAAGAAUAUUGCUCAACUGAAACAAUUUUGUAGAGGAAUGUUCCAAAAUUCCUUCUGCAGGUCUGAUCCGCAACUACAGAAAACAUUUGGUUGAGGUUAUUGCUGCCAAAGUAGGGUCAACCAGUUAUUAAAACCAAGAGUUCACAUACUUUUUCCUCCCUGCACUGUGAAUGUUUACACGGUGUGUUCAAUUAAGACAUGAAAACCUACAAUUGUUUGUAUGUUAUUAGUUUAAGUUUGUCUAUUGUUGUGACUUAGAUGAAGAUCAGAUCAAAUUUUAUGACCAAUUUAUACAGAAGACCAGGUAAUUCCAAAAGGUUCAAAUACUUGUUCUACCACUGUAUAAGGUCCAACAGUUGCCAGUGCAUGUCAGAGCAAAAACCAAGCCAUUAGGUCGAAGGAAAUGUCCGUAGAGCUCCGAGACAGGAUUGUGUCGAGGCAAAGAUCUGGGGAAGGGUACCAAAACAUUUAUGGGGAAGGGAACCAAAACAUUUCUGCAGCAUGUAAGGUCCCCAAGAAAUCAGUGGCCUCCAUCCUUCUUAAAUGUAAGAAGUUUGGAACCACCAAGACUCUUCCUAGAGCUAGCUGCCCGGCCAAAUGGAACAAUCGGGGGAGAAGGGCCCUGGUCAGGGAGGUGACCAAGACACCAAGCUCUACAUUACCUCUGUGGAGAAGGGAGAACCUUCCAGAAGGACAACCAUCUCUGCAGCACUCCACCAAUCAGGCCUUUAUCAGACGGAAGCAACUCCUCAGUAAAAGGCACAUGACAGCCCACUUGGUAUUUGCCAAAAGGCACCUUUAGACUUUCAGACCAUGAGAAACAAGAUUCUCUGUUCUGAUGAAACCAAGAUUGAACUCUUUGGCCUGAAUGCCAAGCGUCAUGUCUGGAGGAAACCUGGCACCAUCCCUAUGGUGAAGAAUGGUGGUGGCAGAAUCAUGCUGUGGGGAUGUUUUUCAGCGUCAGGGACUAGGAGACUAAGUACAGAGAGAGAGAUCCUUGAUGAAAACCUGUUCUAAAGCACUCAGGACUGGGGCGAGGGUUCACCUUCCAACAAGACAACGACCCUAAGCACACAGCCAAGACAACACAGGAGUGGCUUCUGGACAAGUCUCUGAAUGUCCUUGAGUGGCCCAGCCAGAGCCCGGACUUGAACCCGAUCUAACA